UGUGACAAAUUAUGUUAUCUCCCUACUUUUAAGGGACAUGCUAUCCAUACAUAAUUCUAGAUAUCCAAGCCCGAUUUCUAUAUCAAAUUACAUCACUAGAGAGCUAUACUCCUGUGUUUACAUGUCUACACUCAUCAUAGAUCAUCCCCAUAUGGAUACAUUAUCAGAAUUAUGAUUAAGUAGUUUACUUUUAUCAAGGUUUAAAAGAGGAGGAGAUGUGCUAUUUGGUUAUUUGAUUGCAAGAAAUAAAAACUUACUCAUAUUUUUUCAAACAUUGGUAGAAGAUUAUUCCAUGCAUGCAUUUACUUAACAGAAAGACUAGAAUCAUUCAAGUUUUGAGGAACCCACAAAGGGAUGACGGCCUAGUCUCAUCAAUGUACAUUGUUAACUGUAGGCAGGAUGCAAAACAGCCCAUAAUGACAGAGGGCAUUUGGUGUACCAGUUAAGACACACUUCAGACAUCCACAUCUCACAUCAGAGUUCCUGGAUUUGAAUCUGAGCUCUGCUGCCAUUGCCACCUUCCUGCUUAUGUGGCACUCUGUGAGGCAGCAGUUAAUGGCUCCAGUACUUGGUCUCUGCCACCAUGUGGAAAAUUUAAAGGGAGUUCCCUGCUCCCAACUUUAGCCCAGCCCAGCCCUGCUGUUGCAGGUGUUUAGAAAAGUAAACCAACAGAAGGUCUCUCUCUCUUUCUCUCUCUGCCUCUCAAGUAAGUAAAUAAAUGUUUUUUUAAACCUUCUAAGUUAUUUUUAAGAGAAAAUAUAGUGUGUUUUCUGUAGUCACCCCACCAUGCAAUAGAAGCACAGAACUUCUUGUUUCUGUCAAACUAUAACUUACUACCCAUUAGUCAACCUCUUCCUCUUCCCUUCUAUCCCAUCUCACCCCAGCCUCUGUUAAUCACCCUUAUACUUUUAACUUCUAUGAGAUCACCUUUUUUAUUAGACCCCACAAGUGGAUAGAUACUAAGUUGUUUCUAAUUUUUGACUGUUGUUAAUACUGCUGCAAUAAACAUGGGAAUGCAGAUGUCUCUUCAACAGAGUGAUUCUGUUCCUCUUGGGCCAGUAAUGGGUUAGCUGGGUUACACAAUGACCUAUUUUUAGUUUUUUGAGGAAUUUUAUGCCUCACAUUUUAAGCCUCCUAAAAUAUUCUUUAGAAUUAACAUAUUACUUUUUCUUGUAUCUUAUGAUGUAUAGAUUUGAGCCAAUUAAAUUUUAAGAAAACCACAAGAACUAAUAAUUAUACUUCCAAAUAGCCAUCAAAAUCAGUAUACCAAAUUGUAUUCAAAACUCAAACUUAAUAAUAUCUAAUUUCACAUACAUUGAAGAUAAAAAUAUUGCCAUUAAACAAUAGAAAAAUCUCAUGUAAUGUUAGUCUAAUUCUGUAUAAAAACCAUAGUGCCUUUUAAAAUUGUCUUUAUUUUUCAAGCUAAUUACAGAAAAACAUUAGGUACACAGAUGUUCCCCUGGCAACCAGUAGCUCUAAGGAGUAGUAAAAGAGGCCGGCGCUGCGGCUCACUAGGCUAAUCCUCCGCCUAGCGGCGCCGGCACACCGGGUUCUAGUCCCGGUCGGGGCGCCGGAUUCUGUCCCGGUUGCCCCUCUUCCAGGCCAGCUCUCUGCUGUGGCCCGGGAGUGCAGUGGAGGAUGGCCCAAGUGCUUGGGCCCUGCACCCCAUGGGAGACCAGGAAAAGCACCUGGCUCCUGGCUCCUGCCAUCGGAUUAGCGCGGUGCGCCGGCCGCAGCACGCUGGCCGCAGCGGCCAUUGGAGGGUGAACCAACGGCAAAGGAAGACCUUUCUCUCUGUCUCUCUCUCUCACUGUCCACUCUGCCUGUCAAAAAAAAAAAAAGGAGUAGUAAAAGAUAUUAUAACUGAAAGAAUAAGAACAAAUAAAGGGAAAAUGCAUUAUUAUUUUUUUAUUUAGGAAAAAAUUAAAAGCUUCUGAAUUAUUAAUACUACUGUUAAUAUAGGAGAAAACAAUUUUAGUAUGAUUUUUGAUAAGAAUUAUUGAAGUUUAUAUUAUGCAAUGGUUUAUUUAAUUCAGAUGAAAUAAUAUUUAAUUAUACGAUUUGCCAAUCCUCAUUUUUAGGAUGACUAUGAGCUGAAAGUAAUAUUUUUUGAAAAUUUCUAUUUAUAUAAAAGGAACAAAUGUCAGGUAUUUCAUAUAUAUACUUUUAAGGACAUAAUGAUACUUCCCACCCUACCUUCCUUUUCUCCCUUGCUCCUACCUCCCUCCUUCCUUUCUUAUUUUUCUCUUAAUUUUUGCAGUGACAUGCCUUCAGUUUACUUUAUAAUCACAAGCUUAACCCGCCACUAAAUAAAGAAUUCAACAAGUAGUAACUAGGAAAACCACUAUUCCUCAGGAGUAUAGACAAAGGCUGUAAAUAAUAAAAUCUCAAAAUAUUGUAUUGUAAAAUUUACUGUUCAAAUGUUAGUAGGUUCAAAUUUUAUUUCUAUUAGCAAAUAAAAACAUUUGAAAUUUGUGUACUUCAGAUGUAUGUUUACAUUCAAAAUAACAUUUGGGGAAGCACAAAAUGUUUGGAUGAGGGUACUUCAAAAAUUUCAUGAAAAAUGGAAUUUAAAGGUAAGCUUAUUUUGUUGCAAAAUAUUUUGAAAUCUAUUUGUACACAGGAUCUUCAAAAAUUCAUGGAGAAUGUGCAUCAUAAAUAAACUGUAUGUGGUCUCCAAUUUUUUGCACCACAAUAAACUUAUCUUUUUUAUAUUCCAACCUUGUAUUUUCUUUUUAAGAUUUAUUUAUUUAUUUGAAAAGCAGGUUUAUAGAGGGAGACAGAGUAAAAGAGUUCUUGUAUCCACUGGUUCACUUCCAAAAUGGCCACAACGUCCAGGGCUGGACCAAGCCAAAGGCAGGAACCAGGAGCUUCAUUCCAUUCUCCCACAUGGGUACAAGGUCCCAAUUUGGGCCAUCUUCCGCUGCUUUCCCAGGCAUGUUAGCAAGGGAGCUGCAAUGGAAUGAAGCUGCCAGAACACGUACUGCCGCUCUUACGGGAUGCUAGCAUCACAAGUGGUGACUUAACCUGCUGUACCACAAUACCAUCUUUUAGUGAACUUUUUGAAAUACUUUUCAUAAAUGAAGAAGAGGCACAUUUCCCAUGGAAGAGAAUAUCAAGUAAUAUAUGUGGAUAUUCUACCCUCAAGGAAAUGGAACAUAAUUCCCAUUGCUAGGUGCUAGCUACAUAUUGUGACUUUUGUUCAAAGAGUGAAGAAACCUGACAAACACUAAAUCAAGGUCAGCAUUGAUAAUGAAAAGUCUUAUUGAUAAUAUGUAUCUUUGGUAUAAUGUGAGGAAUAUAGCACCUUGCUCCUGUGGUCUUUCAAAAACCCUAACUCCAGUCUGUUUAUGAGAAAAACAUCUGACAAAUGCCAAUGGAGGAGUACUCUACAAAAUACUUGAUCAUUGCUGCUCAAAGCUGUCAAGAUCAUUCAGACAAGGCAAGUCUAAGAAGCCAUCAGAGCCAGGGGGGCUUAAAUGUAAUGUGGUAUCUUGGAGGCAUUCUAGAACUGGAAAAGAGUAUCAAGUUAAAACUAAGGAUAUCUGAUUAAAAUGUGAACUUUAAUUAAUGUCUUUUAAUAUUUUUUUUGAAUUUUUAACUGACAUCUUAAAAUAUUACUUAUUCAUAGGUUAUAGUUGACAAAUUUUGAUGCACAUAUAAAAUAUCCAGAUCAGCAUAAUUGGCAUCUCUGUCACCUAAAACAUUUAUUACUUCUUUGUGUUAAGACCAUUCUAAGUUACCACUACUUGCUGUUUUGUAAUGUGCAAAUAAUCUUUGUCAACAAUAGCUUUCCCAUUGUGCUAUAGAACAUUAGAAAUUGUACUUCCUUUAAAUCUCAAACUAUGUGUGUUAUCAGAUACAGUGAACUUAAUAGAAUGAUGAUAGAGGCCAUGAGGAAAUGCUUCAAAUUACAGAUCUCAACCAAACCUGGUGGAACACAAUUCUCCAAAAGAUCAUCAACUGAGAAACAAAAUCAACAACCCUCAGUGUGAUUCUUUCUUGUUUGGCACAAAAGAAGAACACAAAAAAUAAAAGACCCGAAGAAUCACAAUGAAAAACUAUUUGUAGAAAGCAAAAUUGCAAAGAUUAUAAGUUCUGAUUUUUCUGGCAAUGGCUGAUUCUCAGGAUGGUAGAGGUAAAGGACUAAAGGUUGUAAAUCACACACAGACACACACACACACAUGCAAGUUUGUGAGACACAGAUUUUUGCUGCCUUAAAGCACAAGCAUGAAUCCAGUCCAACUUGUUCUUUGAACACUUGGUCUAGGAGAUACUAGAUGGAUGAAAUUUUAAAAGGAUUAGGAAGUAGAUAAUCUGCAUGGGUUCUAUACUAAGGGAGAGAUCUUUUCUUGAAGGUUACUCAAGAAGUUAGAUUAAACAAAGCCAUGCUUUCACUGUUACCCUUUUCUGCUAAUUCAAAAAAAUUUGAGCUCAGUAAGAAAAAGAAUAUAGGUGUCAGCACUGUGGCAUAGCAGGUAAAGCUGCCACCUGCAGUGCUGGCAUCCCAUAUGGGCAACUGUUCAAGUCCCAGCAGCUCUACUUCUGAUCCAGCUCUCUGCCAUGGCCUGGGAAAGCAGUAGAAGAUGGCCCAAGUCCUUGGGCCCCUGCACCCAUGUGGGAGACCUGGAGGAAGCUCCUGGCUCCUGGCUUCAGAUCAGCUCAGCUCCAGCAGUUGUAGCAAUCUGGGGAGCGAACCAGUGGAUGGAAGACCUGUGUGUGUGUGUGUGUGCUUCUGCCUCUGCCUCUGCCUCUCUCUAACUCUGACUUUCAAAUAAAUAAUAAAUCUUUAAAAAAAAAAAAAAAGAAGAAUAGAGGCUUUUAAAAAGAUUCUUGGCUCUUUAUCCAGUCUUUCAUUUGUUUUUACCACAUGUAUUUUGACAGCAAUUUCUUCUGUUGAAUUUCCUUUAUUAAGCCUUUCACAAAGGCAUUCAACUUCAGAAACAUCUUAUCCUUUUGUAUUCGUAUUUCAUUGGUUAUUUUACAAUAACAUAAUUGUCAUUAAGAAGUCUAGAAAUAGGCAAAAUUGAUUCAGUAAUCAAAGUUCAGCUGGGAGGCACGGAAACAUGUAAGUGAACUAGAAUGUAAUUUGCUAAGUACAAGAAUUCGGUAUACUGUGGGUAAAUGUUUUAGGGAAAAAAAUAGAUGAUAGUGAUUAUAGAUGGCUUUGUUAGCUGAAUGUUAAGAGAAAUUAUGUUGAGUAUGAAGCGACACCAUUACUGUGUUCCUGUUGCCUUGGAAUUUUUCUCUAGGAUAUAUAGUUUUAGAUGCAGUAUUUACAUAUUAUUUUUAUUCAAAAAAGUGUUUAGUGAACUCCUAUAUUCAUCAAGCAUGGAAAUAAGUGAUAAUAAAUAUUUCAUCACUAUUUACUGACAUUAAACAAUAUUAAUGUGGUGUUACUGAUAAUUUUAUUUAUGCAUGCCUAAUAACCUAUAACAAUGGAGAAGAUUUAAAUGAAAUGAUUGUUUUAUAGAUUUGCUUUGUGAAUGCCCUUAGAAAGAACUUUUCAGACACCUAAUGUUGUGUUAGAUUGAUGCCAUGUUUUUCAUGGGAGAUGUUUGAUAAGGAAAAAUACUAUCAAGUUCAUUAUUGUUGUUUUUAUCUUGAAGCUACCAGAAAAACUUAUAAUGGAAUACUACGAGAAGUAUAAGCCUAGAAUGAAUGAACUGGAAGCUUUUAAUAUGCACCACUCUAUAUUAUUCUUCUUUUAGCUGAAAGUUGUUCUGGCUCCUUGUAUAGAGACACUGAUUCUUCUGGAUCGACUUUGCUACCUUAAAGAGCAGGAAGAUAUUGCAUGGUCUGCACUCGUGAAGUUGUUUGAUCCUGUGAAAUCUCCCAGAUGUUAUGCUGUUAUUGCUCUGAAGAAGCAGCAGUGAUUUCAGUUGAAGCAAAUUAUUCGAUGUAUCUGUUGAAACUGUUGCUAAGAUUGCAUUUCUAAACACGAAUGUCCUAUGGUGUAAAUAUUUUUAAAUCACUGCUAUAUAUUUUAAAUAAACAAUGAAAUAAUGGCUAACAGAAAGUCAUAUUCCACUUUUUUCAUUGCAC